GCUUCUCUAACAUGGACAGACAGGCUGAACAAAAUGCCUUCUCUUGGGUGACAGAGAUGGUUCAGUCCUUCAGCUGACUGUCAAUUGUGUCUCCAGUUUCCUGGGAAUGCUCGGACCUUGCAUUGUGAAGUACCAGAUAUAGCUUCAGUUCUCUGCAACCAUUCUGAGAUAUGGAUGUUUCAAAGAUUCCUCAAGACUGCUGUCCCCGCUGGCGGCAUCAUCUACAGAUACGGGCACCUAGCAGGAUUCUCGGCCACUCAACUGCUCUAGUAGCUGUCUG